GAUGAACGCUGGCGGCGUGCUUAACACAUGCAAGUCGAACGAUGAAGCCCAGCUUGCUGGGUGGAUUAGUGGCGAACGGGUGAGUAACACGUGAGUAACCUGCCCUUAACUCUGGGAUAAGCCUGGGAAACUGGGUCUAAUACCGGAUAGGAGCGUCCACCGCAUGGUGGGUGUUGGAAAGAUUUAUCGGUUUUGGAUGGACUCGCGGCCUAUCAGCUUGUUGGUGAGGUAAUGGCUCACCAAGGCGACGACGGGUAGCCGGCCUGAGAGGGUGACCGGCCACACUGGGACUGAGAGACGGCCCAGACUCCUACGGGAGGCAGCAGUGGGGAAUAUUGCACAAUGAGCGCAAGCCUGAUGCAGCGACGCCGCGUGAGGGAUGACGGCCUUCGGGUUGUAAACCUCUUUCAGUAGGGAAGAAGCGAAAGUGACGGUACCUGCAGAAGAAGCACCGGCUAACUACGUG
rnacentral:rRNA from 1 species